UCCUCGUGGUGUAAUGGGUAGCACACUUGACUCACAACUAAAAGAUCUCAGAUUCAAUUCCUGAUUAAGGAA